AAUUAAGCGGAGGAAAAGAAACUAACUAGGAUUCCCUUAGUAGCUGCGAGCGAACAGGGAUGAGCCCAGCACCGAAUCCCGCGGCCAGCAUUGGACGCCGGGAAAUGUGGUGUUAGGGAGGAUCCAUUAUCCCGAGACAUUACGAUGCGUCCAAGUCCUUCUUGAACGGGGCCAUAACCCAUAGAGGGUGCCAGGCCCGUAGUGACCGUCGUACGUUGCGGGAGGAUUUCUCCUCAGAGUCGGGUUGCUUGAGAGUGCAGCCCUAAGUGGGUGGUAAACUCCAUCUAAGGCUAAAUAUGACCACGAGACCGAUAGCGAACAAGUACCGUGAGGGAAAGUUGAAAAGCACUUUGAAGAGAGAGUUCAAGAGUACGUGAAACCGUUCAGGGGUAAACCUGAGAAACCCGAAAGGUCGGCGGGGAAAUUCAUUCGCGUUUCGUCGUUUGACAUCGAGUGGUAGCGUGACGAACGGUCUUCGGGUCGUGAGCACAUAUCGUUUGGUGAUAUCGGCGACGAACGCGUGCACUUUUCCUCUUGUCGGACGUCGCGAUCCGUUGGGCGUCGGUCUAAGGCUCGCGGUGGAGACCUGACGAUGAUCGUUUACGCGAUUGUCGUUAGGACCCGCGGUGUUUCCCGACCGACUCGCUCGACGGUAUGCAUAUGGCGCGGAGCCGCGACACAAUUCGCGUUCGGCCCGAGGCAAGCGCGCGCGAGUUUUCGGCCAUCGGACCUGGUGCCGGUUCUGAUCUCGCGCGACUGUUGGCUUCGGUGUUCUCGAACAGACUCUGUGAAACGCCGAUCGGCGACGCUAUAGCUUUGGGUACUUUCAGGACCCGUCUUGAAACACGGACCAAGGAGUCUAGCAUGUGCGCGAGUCAUUGGGAAAUAAUUAAACCUAAAGGCGCAAUGAAAGUGAAGGUUAACCUUGCGUUGACCGAGGGAGGAUGGGCGGUUCGCCCUUAAAGUGGCCGCUCCGCACUCCCGGGGCGUCUCAUUCUCAUCGCGAGAAGAGGCGCACCAAGAGCGUACACGCUGGGACCCGAAAGAUGGUGAACUAUGCCUGGUCAGGACGAAGUCAGGGGAAACCCUGAUGGAGGUCCGUAGCGAUUCUGACGUGCAAAUCGAUCGUCGGAACUGGGUAUAGGGGCGAAAGACUAAUCGAACCAUCUAGUAGCUGGUUCCCUCCGAAGUUUCCCUCAGGAUAGCUGGCGCUCGUGUAUACGAGUCUCAUCCGGUAAAGCGAAUGAUUAGAGGCAUUGGGGUCGAAACGACCUCAACCUAUUCUCAAACUUUAAAUGGGUGAGAUCUCCGGCUUGCUCGAACUUAUGAAGCCGCGAGAAUUUUUAACGGAUCAGAGUGCCAAGUGGGCCAUUUUUGGUAAGCAGAACUGGCGCUGUGGGAUGAACCAAACGCCGAGUUAAAGCGCCUAAAUCGACGCUUAUGGGAUACCAUGAAAGGCGUUGGUAACUUAAGACAGCAGGACGGUGGCCAUGGAAGUCGGAAUCCGCCAAGGAGUGUGUAACAACUCACCUGCCGAAGUUACUAGCCCUGAAAAUGGAUGGCGCUGAAGCGUCGUGCUUAUACUCGGCCGUCAGCGGCAUGUGCGAUCACUUUAGUGUGGUCAUGAAGCUCUGACGAGUAGGAGGGUCGCGGCGGUGUGCGCAGAAGGGCUGGCCGUGAGGCCGUCUGGAGCCGCCGUCGGUGCAGAUCUUGGUGGUAGUAGCAAAUACUCCAGCGAGGCCCUGGAGGACUGACGUGGAGAAGGGUUUCGUGUGAACAGCCGUUGCACACGAGUCAGUCGAUCCUAAGCCCUAGGCGAAAGCCGAUGUUGAUGUUGGUGUAGUUUAUAAUAUAUAUUUACGUAUGUAAUAUGUACACACCCGUCGGGCGAAAGGGAAUCCGGUUCCUAUUCCGGAACCCGGCAGCGGAACCGUCAAUAAGUCGGGCCCUCGCAAGAGAGUUCGUCGGGGUAACCCAAAAGGACCCGGAGACGCCGUCGGGAGAUCCGGGAAGAGUUUUCUUUUCUGCAUGAGCGUUCGAGUUCCAUGGAAUCCUCUAGCAGGGAGAUAUGGUUUGGAACGCGAAGAGCACCGCAGUUGCAGCGGUGUCCGGAUCUUCCCCUCGGACCUUGAAAAUCCGGGAGAGGGCCACGUGGAGGCGUCGCGCCGGUUCGUACCCAUAUCCGCAGCAGGUCUCCAAGGUGAAGAGCCUCUAGUCGAUAGAAUA
rnacentral:rRNA from 1 species